GGAUGUGAGGGUGAUUUAGUCGUGACAUUGUCACCGCCUUGAUUGCCAGGGUCGAUGUGACUGAUCUAGCUCGGUAGGCAGGUGUCCCCUUCCUCCCUCGCCACUCCUCGUGCAUCCCUCCUGUAGCUUGGUGGCCUUCCUGGAAUAGAGGCAGAGCAGUCUUCAGUCAAGGGUAUAGGAGUAGCCGUGCUCUCCUGCUAGAACCUCCAGUCAAGCUCCCAAGAUUUUGGCAGAGGCUAUGAUCUUUUGAGGGUAUCCCGGGACUGAAGAACCCAUCCGAGGACGGCUGCCUGACACGC
rnacentral:snRNA from 1 species